rnacentral:ncRNA from 1 species
AAGUAAAUAGGUGAUGAAGUUCGCCAUAAUUAUCUUUUUUAGAUUGAUAACUUCUGCAGUAUU